UGAAAGUGUAGGCACACUGCCCAUGUUGAAUCCGGUUAUAUCUUCUCCCACCGUUUUCUGGACUUCGGCGCUGGUUGCUGCACCCUAUGGUUCAAGAAUAUCAGCAUGGCUAUGGCAGUGGCAGCUAGUCUAAAAGGAAGCACUUGGCUGUAAUCCCUGGAGGCAGAGCCAAGCCCCUUCACUCAACUAUGUAGGCAUCAAAGGUAUCCACAACAGAUGGAAAUACCACAGAGGGCUAAAACAGAAAAACAAGAAGAUGGAGGAUAUCACCUGGUGACUGAUGGCACUUCAUGAGUACAUGUGAAAUAUCCAUUGAAAUCUUGAUUCCUAGAUGAGAAAAAAAUGCAAAGGUCCCUCUAUCUCAACUUCUACAACUUCAGAUAGAACACAUAUUUUACAUCUUCUCAGAAACUCAAAAAGAAUACGUUGAAAACGAAUGGCUAGAAUCACCAUUCUAUGAUGACUCAUGUACCCAAUGGCAUGUUGAUGGUGACUACUCCUUGAAGCCAAAGCUGAUAAAUGACUUCCAUUGAGCAGUUACUGGAAGAUGCAAGACUUUCCGUGAUUCUGUCAUUCUGUUGGUGAUUUGAGAGUUGUGACAACCACUGCUCAUCAGAGGUUGGAUGAACUGUUCUGUAGUGGUUAAGGUGAGAGGCAAAUUGCUUUCUGUUUUUGUUUAUUUCCUGUUUAUGUUAUUAAACAAAAUUGAAUCAC